CUGUUGUUUGUCGUGGCUCCCUGUUACCCUGCUCCCUUUGGAUAUCUGUUUGGACUACCUGAGUUUUUGGACUCUGUAUUCAGCCACUCACCUACAUGACUUUCAGGCAAUGGCUGUGCCGUUCACGCUACACAACUUGCCGUCUUGAAGGCAUUGUGGUGUCGACACUACAUGACUGAGCUGACUAGAACUCUGUCACCCAAUGCUGGUCUCCAAACCAAGCUGAAGGAAGAAGGAACAGGAGGAGGAGCUGCAGGAGCAAUAAGAGCUGCAGGAGAAGGUCAAGGAAAAAAAGCUGCAGGCGGAGGAGGAGAAGCAGGAGGAGAAGGA